GACGAACGCUGGCGGCGUGCUUAACACAUGCAAGUCGAACGCGCCUGUCCUCUGGGUUUCUGGGGGGUGUGUGAGUGGCGAACGGGUGAGUAACACGUGAGUAACCUGCCCCCUUCUUCGGGAUAACGGUCUGAAAGGGCUGCUAAUACCGGGUAUUCACUGGUCUCCGCAUGGGGUCUGGUGGAAAGGUUUUUUUCUGGUGGGGGAUGGGCUCGCGGCCUAUCAGCUUGUUGGUGGGGUGAUGGCCCACCAAGGCUUUGACGGGUAGCCGGCCUGAGAGGGUGACCGGUCACAUUGGGACUGAGAUACGGCCCAGACUCCUACGGGAGGCAGCAGUGGGGAAUAUUGCACAAUGGGCGCAAGCCUGAUGCAGCGACGCCGCGUGAGGGAUGGAGGCCUUCGGGUUGUGAACCUCUUUCGCCCGUGGUCAAGCCGCGACGUGGGUCGUGGUGAGGGUAGUGGGUAAAGAAGCGCCGGCUAACUACGUG
rnacentral:rRNA from 1 species